rnacentral:rRNA from 1 species
UACCCGCAGCACAAGUGGUGGUCAGUAUUAUUGGGCCUAAAGCGUCCGUAGCUGGCUUGUUAGAUGCCUGGGGAAAUCGAUGCGCUCAACGCAUCGAACUCCGGGUAGACCGGCAAGCUUGGGACCGGGAGAGGCGUGAGCUACUCGAGGGGUAGGGGUAAAAUCCUGUAAUCCUUCGGGGAGGACCAGUGGCGAAGGCGUCACGCUAGAACGGCUCCGACAGUGAGGGACGAAGCCCUGGGGCGCAAACCGG